GGUGUGAGGUUGCCAAGCCUAAUAACGCUAUCAACUAAUACCCCGUUACCUCUCAGGAAUGACCAGAAGGCAGGUUUUGAGGUAACUAUUCGGUAGAAGAUGGGACUUAAGGUGAUAGGAAAUGAGUGUAUUAUCUAACAUCUCAGUUUUUACCCAGAAAAGACUUAUUCCUCUCAGGAAUACCCGUUUGUUUGUCCCACCCACCGGGACGCAUGCUCGAGAGAAAUGAACUCACCUUAGUUUUGCUCGGUAUGUUAAGUUACCCAUUCCAAGUUGGUCAACCAAACCCUACCGUGGUUACCAAUAAAAUCAGUUUCAUAAUCAAUUAAAUCACGUAUUUUCAUAGAUUGCAUUCACCGCAAAGAUCACUUUAUAACACAUAGCAAGUACUCAAUUCUCAUACAAGUCCACAUCCCAUGUGCAUGUCACCUAACAACACUUAACAGGUGAGUUUGCUAGUCACACGAGCCAAAUCAGGUUUCUUAUUCUUAAUUAAUAUUAUCAACAUGCUUCAAAUAGAACCCUAUAAACAUGAACAUUCAUCAUCAUACAC
rnacentral:lncRNA from 1 species